GCCCGAGUGGUGGAAUUGGUAGACACACAGGACUUAAAAUCCUGCGGUUUUUAUUGAGACUGUGCCAGUUCAAGUCUGGCCUCGGGCACCA
rnacentral:tRNA from 1 species